AUGAAAAUGGAGAGGAGGGAACAACGUGAGGGAAGUAGGAAGAAAGAAGGAAGAGAAUUUUGUGACUGGGUAGAGGGGCGGGGGGAAAGACAAGGACUGAAGGGUGACACUGGCUUUUCCCUCUUGAGGGGCUGGGAGGUGGGGGUACUACUGCCAGGAGCGAGGAAGGUGGGAGAGCCAUACAGUUUGCAGCGGGGAAGUCCUGACUCUUUUACGGGGCAUGUUGAGUUCCAGGUGAUGAUGGAGAUGUUCCAGAGGCAGCUACCCAUGUGGGGCUCAAGUCCUGAUACAAAUGUGAUGAUGUCUGGAGCAGCUCACUGUGAAACUCCCGGAGGAGGGUCAGAGCCCUCCAGUUUUCCAUACCAUGGUGUUCAGAGGCAGGUGUCCUGGUCCUGGGUUCUGGCUGGAGAUUUCCUGAAGCCCGUCUUCCCUGAUGCCACUGAAUGCAGUCUCCUGACCUUUUUCCCUAGAGCUCUCUCCUUCCUCCACAAGACGGCCUGGGAGCCCCCAGCCCAGGGAGGCUUUGGCAUUUCCUGCUUCCUGAACAGCUGGAACGGCUGGCCUCUUGGGAGGAGGGCAGAGCAGGGGACCAGGGCGCCCUGGGGUGGCUGGCUCAGGGCCUGACCUUGAUCACACAAGGUAUGGACUGGUUGGGGCUGGGGAAGGCCUUGUGGCUGUCCUGUCUCUCACUAGCUGGCUUUGUGUCUUGCUGUUUCUUUGUGUGUGGCUGUCUUUUUCUGUCUGCCUCUGUCCUGUCUCAUUCUUUCUUUACAUCUCACUCUGUCUCUGCCUCUUUCCUUAUCUGUCUUAGUGUCUCUCUCUGUCUCUCAGUAUCAGUCUCUCUUUUUCCUUCUUCUCUGGUUUUUCUUUGUCUGUUUCUGUCACCUCUCUGUGGCUUUUUCUUUCUUAAUCUCUCUGUAUGAUUGUCUCUGUCUCCUCUUGAGCCUGGCUAUGUAUGUCUCUCCUUGUAUCUUACUGUCUCCAUCUCUCUCCCUGUGUCUGCCUCAAGUGGAGGUGGAGGAAUUGGGUGGGGUUUCUUCUACCCCUCCCCCAUGUCUGUGGGUAUGGGGAGGUCAAGGGGCUUUCAGGAGAGGGGUCCAUCCUGGGGGUGGUUUGGAGACCCUCACACUGUGAGCUAGCAGAUGAGAUUGCAUCCUUGCCAUUUUUCUAGCCCCAAGAAAUGCCCUAGGGACUUUCUUCUCCACCCCCUAGCCCUGGGUCCUCUGGGGGUCUGCUUGGGGAGGAGCUAAUGCUGCUCUUACAGCCUUUAUCCUUCACUAGUGUCCUGCUGACUGUGUAGUUAAGGGAGAAGAUCAGUUUAAGGAGGGAACCUAGGGGGACAGUGUUUGUUUAUCCAAUUAUAGGAGUAGGGGAGCUGGAACUUUCAAGGGAAGGAGAUUGGCAAUGUGGUUUCAGUCCUUGGGCCUUCCUGCCCUCUUUCCCCCACCCCCAGCCCAGGGACCUCCUCCCUAGAAGCCCAGUGAUCAUAGCAUUGGCCCUGGAUGGGGGAGGAGAUGGAGUCAAAGCCUUAUCUACUUCUGGACCCUGCCAGUGACCCCUCUGUCAGGAAGCCCUCUAGGCAAGCAAAGCCACAGAACCACUCACCCCUCCCACUGUCAGGCCU
rnacentral:lncRNA from 1 species